UUCAGCCACUAAUUGCCAUUAAACCACCCAAUUAAGUAGGAGUUAAUACUAAUCACUUCCAGAUUGGUUCUCUCUUAAAUUCACACUCUCACUUUCACAAAAUGCAAAUCCUAGCAAAAAACCAAAGAAAGAGAGAGCCGAGAGGGAGUAAGAGAGUAGAAGAAACUGCUACCCUUUUUGUUUUACUCUCGUACAAUCUAAGAAAACCGAAGCUGCCCAAUCUGAGGAACUCAUCCUUUCGGCCCAACAAAUUCUGCAGUGUAAACCACAUUUCAACUUCGACAGAAGGUUGAGCAGUGACGGUGGAGAAUGCUGAGCAGAGUUAUGAUUUUCCUUUUAUUUUAAGUAGAGGCUCUCGGCGGUGCAUGUCUCCAUACAUGUGACCGUGUUUGUUCCGUUGCGUACUAAGGUUCUAGAUGACAUCGACUGUUACUCUGAUAAUUAUUUAUUAAAAUAUAAGAUUUUCAUUCAA